CAGCUUUCCCGAAAAUAAAAUGAGAGUCCCCAGGAAGCAGGGAAGGGCCGUGAAGCAGAGACUCGGAAGGGAGCAAGCAGGGAGCGAGAAGGAUGGAUGGCCUGCAGCUUCUCCUUCCCAUGCAGACAGGAAACCGCCUGGGCAGAAGCAGCACUUCCUUCCAAGAGGAUGAACGUUUAAAUGCCAUGUGGACAGGGAUGCAGGGGGUGCCUGGAUGGGGCUGGGGCCCUGGGAGAUGCUGUUAGUGAUCAUGAAUUUCCACCAUCGUCCCAUCCACACCACAGCCAGAGAGGAUACUGAAGGCAGAAACAGGAGAAUGUCUGUGAGUUCCAGGCCAGCUCAGCCAACAGAGAGACUUCCAGAAAGGCCAGGGCUACACAGAUCUCAGAAUGCGCUGAGCAACGGUGUGCGUGCAGCAACGUGAAUACCUCUAUGCCUUGCCUGGCCUCCGGGAAGGCUCUCUGAAUUGGCUGCUGUCCAGGCAGCUCUCCUACCAGCCACAGAGUCUGGCCUGGUGACCCCAGGGCCUCUUGCUGAGCUGUGAGUCAAACCUUGGUCCUGUGGUGGCCAGCGAGAAAACCCAGACCCCUGAGCUGCAGAGCUGCAGUCAAGAGCCACUCACAGCCCUCCCUGUCCCCGGGUCAUGCUAACUGGGCAACUGCCUUGCCAGACCCCUUUGCCUACUUUCACCAGGUGCCAAGAGAUUGUGAAAGCACAAUGAAUAAUUGGGGGGACUAUACUUGGAAGCCAGCCCACCUCCCUUCAGGACCAGCCAGCUCCUCUUGACUCGCUCCAUUUUGUAGGAUUCUAGGACAGAAAGGAAUUUAGAGGUCCAGGAGGGCAGGGCUUGCCCCUAAGGCUGACCAAGGCAUCAGUGACACCCAGCUGGACCCAGCCAUCAACUGGCUUGCUGAGUGGAGCCCCUGGCAGGUGUGAAUGGAGAUGCUCCACGCAGGUGCAAGCUACUGCGGGAAGGGUCUGGAUUCUAAGUCAAAUCAUGGACUGACCGGAGAGAGGCAGGUCCAAACCUCUCCAGAUGCUCAUCUGAAAAAUGUGGUCUUCUGAACUUACCAUGGCAUGAGAUAUCCUAGUAAUAUCUGUUUGUCUCUCUGUCUCCUCCCCAACCCCCUAAUAAUGAAGGGCGAACCCAGGCAUUUCGCAAAUGCUUG
rnacentral:lncRNA from 1 species